GCAUCGGUCUUACAGCGGCCAGUAUCCCGGUUUUGUAAUCCGGAAACGAGGGUUCGAGUCCCUCCCGAUGCUC
rnacentral:tRNA from 1 species